rnacentral:sRNA from 1 species
AAGCCUGGAAACUGAUUUCUCUUUCCUCUUGAUGUGUGUGUGUUUGGGUGUGGCCGAGGUCACCCCCUUUUUUU